rnacentral:rRNA from 1 species
UACGUAGGGGGCGAGCGUUGUCCGGAUUUAUUGGGCGUAAAGAGCGUGUAGGCGGCCAGGUAGGUCUGCUGUGAAAACUCGAGGCUCAACCUCGAGACGUCGGCGGAAACCAUCUGGCUAGAGUCCGGAAGAGGCGAGUGGAAUUCCCGGUGUAGCGGUGAAAUGCGCAGAUAUCGGGAGGAACACCAAUGGCGAAGGCAGCCCCCUGGGUCAAGAUUGACGCUCAUGCACGAAAGCGUGGGGAGCAAACAGG